rnacentral:rRNA from 1 species
AAAAUAUCUAUCCUCCCUCUAAGCCUAGGUAGAAAACUAAGUUAUAAGACAAGGAUGAACACGAUAUAUGGUACUUUUUAAAAUCUGGUUCCCAAAGAAAUAAAACAUUUUAAAAAGAAUUUUAAAAUAAUGUAUUUAGCUUAUGCUGAGUAUAUAUUAGUGAGCAACUAAUUUAAAAAUAUUUAAGGAAUAAUAGUCCCCUCUGUUAUAAUAAAUUACUAUUGACCUAAUUUAUUUAUUAAGCUUCUCUUCUUAUUUGGGUAAUUAAUUCUAAGAAUUAGAACUUGUUUACACUAGUAAAUAUACUUUUAUUAUUUUCUUACUUAAAUAAGUUUUAUCAAUUUUAAAUUAAAUAUAAACUAAAUAACUUGAGAUUCUCCAAACUGUUUAACAAAGACAUAGUAAGACUGUGUCUUAUGUAUCUGCCCAAUGAAUAAUUUUUUAUGGCUUUAAAGUAGCGCAAUAAUUAGUUUAUUAAUUGUAAACCUGUAUGAAGCUAGCAUUGGUUAAUCAUGUUUAUUCUUAUCUGUUGAAUCUUAGUUAUCAGUACAAACGCUGAUAUGCUCCCCGAAGACGAUAAGACCCUAAGACCUUCACCUUGUUUGGCUGGGAUAGCCUACUUAAUAUAAUAAAGAAACCUUAAUUAUUACGAACCAAUUAUUUUGCUAUACAUAGGUACCUUAGGGAUAACAGCGCGUAAUACUUUUAGAGCUCUUAUUUAAAAGAUAUUCGUGACCUCGAUGUUGAAUUAAGUAAUAUAGUGCUGCAGAAGGUGCUAGUUUAAGUCUGUUCGACU